CCUACGGGAGGCAGCAGUGAGGAAUAUUGGUCAAUGGACGAGAGUCUGAACCAGCCAAGUAGCGUGAAGGAUGACUGCCCUAUGGGUUGUAAACUUCUUUUAUAUGGGAAUAAAAUGUUCCACGUGUGGGAUUUUGUAUGUACCAUAUGAAUAAGGAUCGGCUAACUCCGUGCCAGCAGCCGCGGUAAUACGGAGGAUCCGAGCGUUAUCCGGAUUUAUUGGGUUUAAAGGGAGCGUAGGUGGAUUGUUAAGUCAGUUGUGAAAGUUUGCGGCUCAACCGUAAAAUUGCAGUUGAAACUGGCAGUCUGGAGUACAGUAGAGGUGGGCGGAAUUUGUGGUGUAGCGGUGAAAUGCUUAGAUAUCACGAAGAACUCCGAUUGCGAAGGCAGCUCACUGGACUGCAACUGACACUGAGGCUCGAAAGUGUGGGUAUCAAACAGGAUUAGAUACCCCAGUAGUC
rnacentral:rRNA from 1 species